rnacentral:rRNA from 1 species
UACGGGGGGGGCAAGCGUUGUUCGGAAUUACUGGGCGUAAAGGGCUUGUAGGUGGCCAACUAAGUCAGACGUGAAAUCCCUCAGCUUAACUGGGGAACUGCGUCUGAUACUGGAUGGCUUGGAUUCGGGAGAGGAAUGCGGAAUUCCAGGUGUAGCGGUGAAAUGCGUAGAUAUCUGGAGGAACACCGGUGGCGAAGGCGGCAUUCUGGACCGACAUUGACGCUGAGGAGCGAAAGCCAGGGGAGCAAACGGG